rnacentral:rRNA from 1 species
AACGCGAAGAACCUUACCUACCCUUGACAUGCCAGGAAGCCCGCUGAGAGGUGGGUGUGCCCGAAAGGGAGCCUGGACACAGGUGCUGCAUGGCUGUCGUCAGCUCGUGUCGUGAGAUGUUGGGUUAAGUCCCGCAACGAGCGCAACCCUUGUCACUAGUUGCUACGCAAGGGCACUCUAGUGAGACUGCCGGUGACAAACCGGAGGAAGGUGGGGAUGACGUCAAGUCCUCAUGGCCCUUAUGGGUAGGGCUUCACACGUCAUACAAUGGCGCAUACAAAGGGCUGCCAACCCGCGAGGGGGAGCCAAUCCCAGAAAGUGCGUCGUAGUCCGGAUUGCAGUCUGCAACUCGACUGCAUGAAGUCGGAAUCGCUAGUAAUCGCGGAUCAGCAAUGUCGCGGUGAAUACGUUCCCGGGUCCUGUACACACCG